UCGCGCUUCCGGUUCCGGCGGCCAGACGGCGGCAGGGGCCGGCCGCGCUUAGGCCGCGGCGGGCGGCAGGGGGAGAGGGCGAGAUGUGGACGCCGCCGCCGCUGCUGCCCUGGCUCCUGGCGGGGCUGCUGCUGGCCGCCCGUUGCGGGGAGGCCACGGCGGCGGCCCGUCCCCCCCCGGGUGCCGCCACAGCCUUCCCGCGCCCCACGGAGGUGGCCGGCGGGGCUGCCACGCGAAGCAGCAGCAGCAGCAGCAGCAGCCGCCUGUCUGAGGUGUCGGCGCCGCCCGAGCAGGGCCAGCCCAUGACCCAGCGCGCCCUGUCCGUGCUGGUGCUGGCCAGCGCCGCCCUCAUCGUCUACUUCGUGAUCCGGACCGUGCGGCUUAGAAGGCGAAACAGAAAAACCCGAAGAUAUGGAGUUUUGGAUACAAACAUAGAAAACAUGGAGCUGACUCCAUUAGAACAAGAUGAUGAUGAUGACGAUACAACACUAUUUGAUGCCAAUCAUCCUCGAAGUUGGAGAAGGGAUGUCAAGAUCACUUGAAUUUUAAAUGGGCAAGAAUUUAGUGGGCAAGAAGAUAAACACCGUUUGUCUUCAGCAUGUGAGUUCCAGAGAAAUGGAGAGGAAGACAAAAAAAUUCUGGUAGCGACUGGACGACGUCAGCUUUUCAAGAAAGGAAUUAGUUGAAGAACUGCCUGUCAAAACUGAACACAAGAAGCUCAUUGAGAUUUCAACAAAGCCCUUCUCAGAAGCUGAAGGCAUGAGAGGCAAAUACCAAGCGUUGGAUUUCUCAUCUGGCCCCUAAGAAAUACUACAUAUUUGAUAAAACCAAGGCGUACCAGAGAUGAACACCUUCCUAGUCUCUCAUAAAUUCCUCUAGAAGACCAUAGAACAAGACUACAUCUGAAAUACUUCUUUCAACUAACGGUGCACUGAAGUAUGUACCUAUUUCAAUAAAGCCUUUGUAAACUGUCAAACACUGGGAAUUUUCUAGCUGCAAUUCUAGUCUAACUUGCUGCCUGCAGAGCUUUUAAUAUGUGGGUUUUUUUCAUUUAGACAGGUUACAAUUUCCACAUUAUAAAAAAAAAAAAACAGACCUCUCAGAGACGUGUAUCUUUUAGAGACCCACAAAGGCUUUCAUAUGGAUAAGAAGCGGGAAGUGCUGAAGCUGUUUAUCUGAGAAAAUGAGAGAUAAGGGUCAUGUCUAAGUGACAUGUUUUUUUUUUUCUUUUUUAGGAUAUUUUUGCAGUUGUUGGACUCUGUUUAUGAUAGUUCUGGAACUCAAUGGGAACUCAGCUUGGGUUCUAUUUUUGGUCACAUUUUUUAGAUAUAAACAUCUUCUCUUGAUGAGUCUGUAAUGUCAGAUUUCAUAGCUUUGUAGAAGCAAUGCACCCAAUUCUUGUAGAAACACACCUAAAGAGAGUCAGAGAUUAGGUUUUCCAAGGUGGUUCAACCUGCCUUCCUCUCACACUCUCUGCUGUAUGGUCUCAGUCCAGUUUUUCUCAUUGUCUUUCAUACAGCCAUUUCUUUGCAAGAUGGAUGCUCUUUAACUUAGCUGCACGAUAUUGGAGCACAUCACGGCUCAAGAUUUUUUCUCUGUGUGCCUCCCUAACACGUCAUUGGUUUACUCGCCAGCAAGAGAAAGUAGUUCUCAAUAGUCUGUUAUCCACUUUGUGUGCAGAAUAUCCAGGUGUAUAUUGGGUUUCUUUCACAAGAAAGCUACUUAAACAAGUACCUUUCUAUAGCUACUUGUGUAAGAACUCAGGUUAAUUCGUUUUAGAAUUUAAUAAUUUCCCUGGGAUUUGUGAGGGAGCUCAAGCUGUAACUGCAUCAGCAGAUAGAUGGCGUAGGGUGGCAAAAUGGAAAAUGCACGUUCGUCUGAAGUGGGAACUUCCCAGAGCUUUUUUGGUUGUUUCCAAACAAAAUUUGUUUGGAAUCUACUUUUUGGAAAAUUUAAAAAAAUAGACACGAUGCAAUGUUAUUUAUCAUUAUACUCAGAAUACAGUAGUCAUUCUUGAGAAUUUCUUACAGAAACAUACCCUUCAGUCAACGUCUAUAAAGGCAUAAAUAUGAUAGAAAGUUACAGAGAACAAUUGUUCAACACUUACCAUAACACCCCUAAAUUAAGACAUCAGGCUUCAAAGGAAGACAUUUUCUACCUAGUAUAAAAUUAAAAUUGAUUGCCAGACAUUUUGCCAAAGGGUGUUAUGCCUGAAAACCCUACAGAUGUAAAUUCAGGAAGGAAAAAUCCAUUGAUGUGGGAUAACCAUGGGAACAGAAGAGCCACAGUAGAAUUUCCAACUGAGGAACUUUCUGAAUGAUGCUUUUCAGAGGUAAAGAAAAUAAUUCCUGUACUUGCCUCUUUCUACCUUCUUUCUCUACAGAUCCAGUAGUUGCCAGUGUCUGAGAUGGAGUACCUGAACAGAAGCAGCUGUUUCUUAAGGCUAGGCUGUCCCAGUAAGGACAGAUUCACUGUGAAUGGGAAGGAGGGUAUUUGCUGGAAAUAGUAAGAAACCUGGAACUCAGAUUUUGUUACUCAAGCACCUACUUCAUUGUAAAGCAUGAAGUAAUCUUAGAAUCCAUUAAGAUCUAUUAUUACUGCUCAGCUUUACAGACCUGUUUCAUGCAGCUAUGCCUGUGUUUAAAGCAUAUACUUAAAUGUCAUAUUAAAGGCCCAGAGCAAAUGUAACCAGAAACUCCAAUUUUCAUGAUCCAUAAGCUUUAAUUCAGGUUGAAAUUAAUUUCUUUAUGCUCUAGUAAGAAAUAAAAGAAUGGAAUAAUUACUGAAACACAAAAAAUGAAAAUCAUUUUGCAGAAAAGAAUGAGGUCCUUACUUUUUCCCAGGAAUAUAAAUAUGGCCUAAACUUUCAAAGACUUUAACUGACUGGGUGUCAGCCCAGGUUGUGCAAUUCUACACCUGCAGCCAUAUUUACUGCAUUAGAAUAAGGAUAUACUUUUAAAUACAAUAAUGUGCUUCAAUUGUGUUAGUUAAGCAUGAAAACUAUUAUAAGAGAAAUUAUCAGGUGAAUCAUUCUUCACAUAUACUGGUACUGCAUUUGCUAAAAUAUUAUUUCAAUUUUGGUUUGUUUUUGUUUUGUUUUUUUUUCUUCAAAUAAAUACCUUCAGUUUUGGUGUUUGAAUCAAAACAGUAAAAACAAUGUAACAUCUGAAACAGGGUUUUCCAUUUUUUCUGUAUGAUAAGGAAAACAAAGAAUAAAUAGCUUCAUU